GCGUUGAUAGCUCAGUGGCAGAGCAGUGGGGCAGUACCCCACCGGCCCCGAGUUCUAUUCCCGGUCGACGCU